CCGUCUGCUGAUUAAACCAGCUGAGCCCCAACACUUGCAGCUGGGAGAGGAGACCAGCCCCGGGUUCCCCACGUGUUCCCAUUCAGUGAUCAGGAGAGAACACAGACAACUCACCAUGGAGUUUGCACUUGGCUGGCUUAUCCUUGUUGCUCUUUUAAAAGGUGUCCAGUGUGAGGUGCAGCUGGUGGAGUCUGGGGGAGACCUUGUGAAGCCUGGAGGGUCCCUGAGACUCUCCUGUGCAGCCUCUGGAUUCACCUUCAGCAGCUACAACAUGUACUGGGUCCGCCAGGCUCCAGGGAAGGGGCUGCAGUGGGUCGCAGGUAUUAGCAGUAGUGGUGGUAGCACAAACUACGCAGACUCUGUGAAGGGCCGAUUCACCAUCUCCAGAGACAACGGCAAGAACACGCUGUAUCUGCAGAUGAACAGCCUGAGAGCCGAGGACACAGCCGUGUAUUACUGUGCGAAGGAUUAUUAUAGUGGUAGUGGUUGGAACUAUGGCUACUUCGAUGUUUGGGGCCAGGGCACCCUGGUCACCGUCUCCUCAGCCUCCACCACGGCCCCAUCGGUGUUCCCACUGGCCCCCAGCUGCGGGACCACAUCCGGCUCCACAGUGGCCCUGGCCUGCCUGGUGUCCGGCUACUUCCCCGAGCCCGUGACUGUGUCCUGGAACUCCGGCUCCUUGACCAGUGGUGUGCACACCUUCCCGUCCGUCCUGCAGUCCUCAGGGCUCUACUCUCGCAGCAGCAUGGUGACAGUGCCCUCCAGCAGGUGGCCCAGUGACACCUUCACCUGCACCGUGGCCCACCCGGCUAGUAGCACCAACAUUGUCAAGCCAGUGCCCAAAUCAAAUGGUGGCACCCCAUGUAAGGAAUGUCCCAAAUGUCCAGUCCCUGAUUCUCUGGGAGGACCUUCAGUCUUCAUCUUCCCCCCGAAACCCAAGGACACCCUCUCCAUUUCCCGAACCCCCGAAGUCACUUGCAUGGUGGUGGACCUGGAAGACCCUGAGGUCCAGAUCAGCUGGUUCAUGGGUGACCAGGAGAUGCGCACGGCCAAGACAAAGGUGCCUGAGGAGCAGUUCAACAGCACCUACCGUGUGGUCAGUGUCCUCCCCAUCGUGCACCAGGACUGGCUCAAGGGGAAGGAGUUCAAGUGCAAGGUCAACAACAAAGCCCUCCCAUCCCCCAUCGAGAGGACCAUCUCCAAGGCCAGAGGGCAGGCCCAUCAGCCCAAUGUGUACGUCCUGCCCCCAUCCCGGGAUGAGAUGAACAAGAACACAGUCAGCGUGACCUGCCUGGUCAAAGACUUCUACCCAUCUGAGGUUGAUGUCGAGUGGCAGAGCAAUGGCCAGCAGAUGCCAGAAAGCAGUAUCCGAACAACCCCACCCCAACUGGACGCAGAUGGGACCUACUUCCUCUACAGCAAGCUCUCGGUGGACAAGAACCGCUGGCAGCGGGGAGAGGUCAUCACGUGUGUGGUAUUGCAUGAAGCUCUACACAACCACCACACACAGAAAUCCAUCUCCCAGUCUCCGGGUAAAUGAGAAACGCGCCCGGUACCCCAGCAAGCCCCCACCCAUGGGCUCUCAGGGUCCCACAAGGACGCCAGAGCCCCCACCCCUGUGUACAUACCUCCCGGGCAGGCACCCCUGCAUGAAAUAAAGCACCCAGCACUGCCCUGGGACUCUGCGA